GGGUGAGUAACGCGUGAGCAACCUGCCUUUCAGAGGGGAAUAACAGUCGGAAACGACUGCUAAUACCGCAUAACAAAGCGUAGUCGCAUGACAAUGCUUUCAAAGGAGCAAUCCGCUUGAAGAUGGGCUCAUAUCUGAUUAGAUAGUUGGUGAGGUAACGGCUCACCAAGUCUGCGAUCAGUAGCCGGACUGAGAGGUUGAACGGCCACAUUGGAACUGAGAUACGGUCCAGACUCCUACGGGAGGCAGCAGUGGGGAAUAUUGGGCAAUGGGCGAAAGCCUGACCCAGCAACGCCGCGUGAAGGAAGAAGGUCUUCGGAUUGUAAACUUUGUCUUAUGGGACGAUAAUGACGGUACCAUAGGAGGAAGCCACGACUAACUACGUGCCAGCAGUCGCGGUAAUACGUAGGUGGCGAGCGUUAUCCGGAAUUAUUGGGUGUAAAGGGUGCGUAGGCGGGUCGUAAAGUCAGAUGUGAAAUGCGGAGGCUCAACCUCCGAACUGCAUUUGAAACUUACGAUCUUGAGUGGAGUAGAGGCAAGCGGAAUUCCCGGUGUAGCGGUGAAAUGCAUAGAUAUCGGGAGGAACACCAGUGGCGAAGGCGGCUUGCUGGGCUUUUACUGACGCUGAGGCACGAAAGUGUGGGGAGCAAACAGGAUUAGAUACCCUGGUAGUCCACACCGUAAACGAUGAUUACUAGGUGUAGGCCGGCU
rnacentral:rRNA from 1 species